GAUGAACGCUGGCGGCGUGCCUAAUACAUGCAAGUCGAGCGAACGGACGAGAAGCUUGCUUCUCUGAUGUUAGCGGCGGACGGGUGAGUAACACGUGGAUAACCUACCUAUAAGACUGGGAUAACUUCGGGAAACCGGAGCUAAUACCGGAUAAUAUUUUGAACCGCAUGGUUCAAAAGUGAAAGACGGUCUUGCUGUCACUUAUAGAUGGAUCCGCGCUGCAUUAGCUAGUUGGUAAGGUAACGGCUUACCAAGGCAACGAUGCAUAGCCGACCUGAGAGGGUGAUCGGCCACACUGGAACUGAGACACGGUCCAGACUCCUACGGGAGGCAGCAGUAGGGAAUCUUCCGCAGUGGGCGAAAGCCUGACGGAGCAACGCCGCGUGUGCGAUGAAGGUCUUCGGAUCGUAAAACUCUGUUAUUAGGGAAGAACAUAUGUGUAAGUAACUGUGCACAUCUUGACGGUACCUAAUCAGAAAGCCACGGCUAACUACGU
rnacentral:rRNA from 1 species